ACCCAUGUGGUGCAAUGGUAGACACGGUAGACUCAAAAUCUGCUUCUUAUUGAUAAGUAUACCGGUUCAAGUCCGGUCAUGGGUA
rnacentral:tRNA from 1 species